GACGAACGCUGGCGGCGUGCCUAAUACAUGCAAGUGGGACGCAAGGAAACACACUGUGCUUGCACACCGUGUUUUCUUGAGUCGCGAACGGGUGAGUAACGCGUAGGUAACCUGCCUAUUAGCGGGGGAUAACUAUUGGAAACGAUAGCUAAUACCGCAUAAUAUUAAUUAUUGCAUGAUAAUUGAUUGAAAGAUGCAAGCGCAUCACUAGUAGAUGGACCUGCGUUGUAUUAGCUAGUUGGUAAGGUAAGAGCUUACCAAGGCGACGAUACAUAGCCGAACUGGGAGGGUGAUCGGCCACACUGGGACUGGGACACGGCCCAGACUCCUACGGGAGGCAGCAGUAGGGAAUCUUCGGCAAUGGACGAAAGUCUGACCGAGCAACGCCGCGUGAGUGAAGAAGGGUUUCGGAUCGGAAAGCUCUGUUGUAAGUCAAGAACGUGUGUGAGAGUGGAAAGUUCACACAGUGACGGUAGCUUACCAGAAAGGGACGGCUAACUACGUG
rnacentral:rRNA from 1 species